rnacentral:tRNA from 1 species
GUCCCCAUCCUUGCUAGCUGGUUUAGGCAGCCGGGCCCUCAUCCCGGAAACGCGGGUUCGAAUCCCGCUGGGGACG